GGGUUGUGAGGUUAAGCGACUAAGCGUACACGGUGGAUGCCCUGGCAGUCAGAGGCGAUGAAGGGCGUGCUAAUCUGCGAUAAGCGCCGGUAAGGUGAUAUGAACCGUUAUAACCGGCGAUACCCGAAUGGGGAAACCCAGUGUGACUCGUCACACUAUCAUUAACUGAAUCCAUAGGUUAAUGAGGCGAACCGGGGGAACUGAAACAUCUAAGUACCCCGAGGAAAAGAAAUCAACCGAGAUUCCCCCAGUAGCGGCGAGCGAACGGGGAGGAGCCCAGAGCCUGAAUCAGCAUGUGUGUUAGUGGAAGCGUCUGGAAAGGCGCGCGAUACAGGGUGACAGCCCCGUACACAAAAGCGCAUGUGCUGUGAGCUCGAUGAGUAGGGCGGGACACGUGGUAUCCUGUCUGAAUAUGGGGGGACCAUCCUCCAAGGCUAAAUACUCCUGACUGACCGAUAGUGAACCAGUACCGUGAGGGAAAGGCGAAAAGAACCCCGGCGAGGGGAGUGAAAAAGAACCUGAAACCGUGUACGUACAAGCAGUGGGAGCACCCUUCGGGGUGUGACUGCGUACCUUUUGUAUAAUGGGUCAGCGACUUAUAUUCUGUAGCAAGGUUAACCGUAUAGGGGAGCCGGAGGGAAACCGAGUCUUAACCGGGCGUUAAGUUGCAGGGUAUAGACCCGAAACCCGGUGAUCUAGCCAUGGGCAGGUUGAAGGUUGGGUAACACUAACUGGAGGACCGAACCGACUAAUGUUGAAAAAUUAGCGGAUGACCUGUGGCUGGGGGUGAAAGGCCAAUCAAACCGGGAGAUAGCUGGUUCUCCCCGAAAGCUAUUUAGGUAGCGCCUCGUGAAUUCAUCUCCGGGGGUAGAGCACUGUUUCGGCUAGGGGGCCAUCCCGGCUUACCAACCCGAUGCAAACUGCGAAUACCGGAGAAUGUUAUCACGGGAGACACACGGCGGGUGCUAACGUCCGUCGUGAAGAGGGAAACAACCCAGACCGCCAGCUAAGGUCCCAAAGUCAUGGUUAAGUGGGAAACGAUGUGGGAAGGCCCAGACAGCCAGGAUGUUGGCUUAGAAGCAGCCAUCAUUUAAAGAAAGCGUAAUAGCUCACUGGUCGAGUCGGCCUGCGCGGAAGAUGUAACGGGGCUAAACCAUGCACCGAAGCUGCGGCAGCGACGCUUAUGCGUUGUUGGGUAGGGGAGCGUUCUGUAAGCCUGUGAAGGUGGCCUGUGAGGGUUGCUGGAGGUAUCAGAAGUGCGAAUGCUGACAUAAGUAACGAUAAAGCGGGUGAAAAGCCCGCUCGCCGGAAGACCAAGGGUUCCUGUCCAACGUUAAUCGGGGCAGGGUGAGUCGACCCCUAAGGCGAGGCCGAAAGGCGUAGUCGAUGGGAAACAGGUUAAUAUUCCUGUACUUGGUGUUACUGCGAAGGGGGGACGGAGAAGGCUAUGUUGGCCGGGCGACGGUUGUCCCGGUUUAAGCGUGUAGGUGUGUGUUCCAGGUAAAUCCGGUUCACUUUAACACUGAGGCGUGAUGACGAGGCACUACGGUGCUGAAGCAACAAAUGCCCUGCUUCCAGGAAAAGCCUCUAAGCAUCAGGUAACAUCAAAUCGUACCCCAAACCGACACAGGUGGUCAGGUAGAGAAUACCAAGGCGCUUGAGAGAACUCGGGUGAAGGAACUAGGCAAAAUGGUGCCGUAACUUCGGGAGAAGGCACGCUGACACGUAGGUGAAGUGAUUUACUCAUGGAGCUGAAGUCAGUCGAAGAUACCAGCUGGCUGCAACUGUUUAUUAAAAACACAGCACUGUGCAAACACGAAAGUGGACGUAUACGGUGUGACGCCUGCCCGGUGCCGGAAGGUUAAUUGAUGGGGUCAGCGCAAGCGAAGCUCCUGAUCGAAGCCCCGGUAAACGGCGGCCGUAACUAUAACGGUCCUAAGGUAGCGAAAUUCCUUGUCGGGUAAGUUCCGACCUGCACGAAUGGCGUAAUGAUGGCCAGGCUGUCUCCACCCGAGACUCAGUGAAAUUGAACUCGCUGUGAAGAUGCAGUGUACCCGCGGCAAGACGGAAAGACCCCGUGAACCUUUACUAUAGCUUGACACUGAACAUUGAGCCUUGAUGUGUAGGAUAGGUGGGAGGCUUUGAAGUGUGGACGCCAGUCUGCAUGGAGCCGACCUUGAAAUACCACCCUUUAAUGUUUGAUGUUCUAACGUGGACCCGUAAUCCGGGUUGCGGACAGUGUCUGGUGGGUAGUUUGACUGGGGCGGUCUCCUCCUAAAGAGUAACGGAGGAGCACGAAGGUUGGCUAAUCCUGGUCGGACAUCAGGAGGUUAGUGCAAUGGCAUAAGCCAGCUUGACUGCGAGCGUGACGGCGCGAGCAGGUGCGAAAGCAGGUCAUAGUGAUCCGGUGGUUCUGAAUGGAAGGGCCAUCGCUCAACGGAUAAAAGGUACUCCGGGGAUAACAGGCUGAUACCGCCCAAGAGUUCAUAUCGACGGCGGUGUUUGGCACCUCGAUGUCGGCUCAUCACAUCCUGGGGCUGAAGUAGGUCCCAAGGGUAUGGCUGUUCGCCAUUUAAAGUGGUACGCGAGCUGGGUUUAGAACGUCGUGAGACAGUUCGGUCCCUAUCUGCCGUGGGCGCUGGAGAACUGAGGGGGGCUGCUCCUAGUACGAGAGGACCGGAGUGGACGCAUCACUGGUGUUCGGGUUGUCAUGCCAAUGGCACUGCCCGGUAGCUAAAUGCGGAAGAGAUAAGUGCUGAAAGCAUCUAAGCACGAAACUUGCCCCGAGAUGAGUUCUCCCUGAGACUUAGAGUCUCCUGAAGGAACGUUGAAGACGACGACGUUGAUAGGCCGGGUGUGUAAGCGCAGCGAUGCGUUGAGCUAACCGGUACUAAUGAACCGUGAGGCUUAACCUUACAACGCCGAAG
rnacentral:rRNA from 1 species